CACUUCGGGUUGAAGAAACAAAGAAAAUUGGUUUUCUGUAAAUAUGAUGUUUUAUUUACCAAUUGAAUUAACCCCAAAAGAUAUAAUAGAUUCAAACAACUACAACGAGGAAAGAAAAAGCAAACACAUUAAUCUGUACACCCUCUCUCCACUGAGAGAGUAAACCCCCAACACGAGGAUUGAACUUGAUACAUUCUACUGCAGCAUGGACCUAUCACUGGAAAAAACAUGAAGCACUACAUUAUGGCCACUACAUAAGAUGCAUUAACCAAAUAGCUCUUCUAUAUUAGCAGAGAUGUGAUGGUAUUUUCUGCCCUGCUGUUAGCUGAUAUGUGAAUAUAUUGAUUGCUUAUCCAGUGCUCUGCUGCAGAUGAUUUUCUUUCUUAAGAGGCUGGUUUGCAGAGAUGACCACACAUACAGUAUCUUUCCUGUGGGUGGACGAUGACUUUGUAUUUUUGAAAAGAAGCCGGAUUGAGAGCUUUGAACUUCAGCCACUUACGAUUUUUGAGGACCGCUUUCUAGAAAAUGGAGGUGUGGUGAGAAGGGUUGGCGUUGAACCGUACCUAAAAAAAGUGGAUCAUUCUGUGUAAAGUGAUCAGGUUUAUUCUGGCCACUGGACAAGGAAAAUGGAAGAUGUCUCGUAUUAGAAAGCAAGAACAGCUAAGACUGGGAGGUUUUAGAAAAACACAAAUUUACUGCUCUUCUGAAACGAUUAUUUUAUACUGAUCAUCCCCCAUGAUGAAGUGCAUGAAGUACAAACGCCUUAUUGUUUUCUUGAUUUUUCUUGGUGGUUCACUGAGCAUCUACUUUAUACACCGUGGCAUGUUGAAGAGCAAGAAA